CCCACUGCUAUCGAGGUGGGACUAAGCCAUGCUAGUUGAGCGCACAGAACUAUGUCUGUGAGCGGCACACUGCUCAGUAACACGUAGCUAACCUACCCUUAGGACGUGGACAACCCCGAGAAAUUGGGGCUAAUCCGCGAUAGAUGUAUUGUCCUGGAAAGGUAUUACGUCUAAAGGUAUCCCAUACAUGUUUGGUAUAUGCCUAAGGAUGGGGCUGCGGCCGAUCAGGCUGUUGGUGAGGUAAUGGCUCACCAAACCUUUGACCGGUACGGGCCAUGAGAGUGGUAGCCCGGAGAUGGACACUGAGACAAGGGUCCAGGCCCUACGGGGCGCAGCAGGCGCGAAACCUCCUCAAUGCACUUACGUGCGAAGGGGCUACCUCGAGUGCCACCUGAUGAAGGUGGCUUUUCCUGGGUCUAAAAAGCCUUGGGAAUAAGAGGGGGGCAAGACUGGUGUCAGCCGCCGCGGUAACACCAGCCCCUCGAGUGGUGGGGAUGAUUAUUGGGCCUAAAGCGUCCGUAGCCUGCCGUGUAAGUUUCCCGUUAAAUCCAGCGUCUUAAGCGUUGGACCGCGGGAAAUACUGUACGGCUAGAGAGUGGGAGAGGUCAGCGGUAUUCUGGGGGUAGGGGCGAAAUCCUUUGAUCCCCGGAGGACCACCAGUGGCGAAGGCUGCUGUCUAGAACACGUCUGACGGUCAGGGACGAAAGCUGGGGUAGCGAACCGGAUUAGAUACCCGGGUAGUCCCAGCCGUAAACGAUGCAUGCUAGGUGUUGGGUUGGCCACGAGCCACCC
rnacentral:rRNA from 1 species